ACUUCCCUCUAAAAAGGCAACCACUCUAAUGUACUAAAUUUGCAUCUCUUUUUUCUUGCCUUGUGAAUUUUUGACAUAUGGCAUUUUAUUGCAUAAUCUCACUUUUUCUUAUUAUUUUCCUUUUAGUGCUGCUUGUUGCUGAUGUUUCUGCCCAAAUAUCAUGAAAUGUGGAGAAGAAAGAACGCGCACAUGUGCCCUGGAGACUUUCCUUUUAUUUUUAAACAUUGUUUUUUCUAUUGGGUUUGACCAACUCUAUAUCCUACUUGAUCAACUCCAAAGGAAAGCUUCCAAUUAUGGGGAAGGAGUCCUCUGAAGUGGCUAAAUUCACACAUACACAAAAGAAAAGAUGAGUUUAUGCCCAGGACCACCAGAUAAUUGAGUCCUGUACAAAAGCUUCUGACUAAUCCAUGUGCUGUGGCUCAGGACUAUACACAGAAAAAAACAGUUUUUAAAUUGAUUGUUUAAAAGGAAACAUAUUUAUGACAUUUGCUCCAUGAUGUGUAUCUCUCACCUUGUUAGCUCAGGCAGAAUUAAAAUGCUAGACAAUAA